AGAGUUUGAUUAUGGCUCAGGAUGAACGCUAGCUACAGGCUUAACACAUGCAAGUCGAGGGGCAGCAUGAAGUUUGCUUGCAAACUUGAUGGCGACCGGCGCACGGGUGAGUAACGCGUAUCCAACCUUCCCCUUAGUAGAGGAUAGCCCGGCGAAAGUCGGAUUAAUACUCUAUGUUGUAUUUUUGAGGACAUCUGACGAAUACCAAAGAUUCAUCGCUAAGGGAUGGGGAUGCGUCUGAUUAGCUUGUUGGCGGGUAACGGCCCACCAAGGCGACGAUCAGUAGGGGUUCUGAGAGGAAGGUCCCCCACAUUGGUACUGAGACACGGACCAAACUCCUACGGGAGGCAGCAGUGAGGAAUAUUGGUCAAUGGGCGAGAGCCUGAACCAGCCAAGUAGCGUGCCAGGAAGACUGCCCUAUGGGUUGUAAACUGCUUUUAUCAGGGAAUAAAGUUCGGCACGUGUGCUGUUUUGUAUGUACCUGAUGAAUAAGGACCGGCUAAUUCCGUGCCAGCCGCCGC
rnacentral:rRNA from 1 species